UACACUCCUACGGGAGGCAGCAGUGGGGAAUUUUGGACAAUGGGCGAAAGCCUGAUCCAGCCAUGCCGCGUGCAGGAUGAAGGCCUUCGGGUUGUAAACUGCUUUUGUACGGAACGAAACGGCCUUUUCUAAUAAAGAGGGCUAAUGACGGUACCGUAAGAAUAAGCACCGGCUAACUACGUGCCAGCAGCCGCGGUAAUACGUAGGGUGCAAGCGUUAAUCGGAAUUUCUGGGCGUAAAGCGUGCGCAGGCGGUUAUGUAAGACAGUUGUGAAAUCCCCGGGCUCAACCUGGGAACUGCAUCUGUGACUGCAUAGCUAGAGUACGGUAGAGGGGGAUGGAAUUCCGCGUGUAGCAGUGAAAUGCGUAGAUAUGCGGAGGAACACCGAUGGCGAAGGCAAUCCCCUGGACCUGUACUGACGCUCAUGCACGAAAGCGUGGGGAGCAAACAGGAUUAGAUACCCUAGUAGUCCCA
rnacentral:rRNA from 1 species